AUGGCUGGGUGGCUCGCUGCAGUGUCGGAGGAGAGCACCGGCCUUGACGAGUUCGCGGCUGCCCGCCCGCCGCGCAACUCUUACCGCGGCUCCAUCCGGCGAGUCGCCGUCUCCGGCGGGCUGAUCAGCGGUUCCGGCUUCUCCUCCGGCUCGGCGCAUGCCGCUGCGGGCGCCAGGGCGCUCUGCGACCUCGAGCUCCGGGAGAUCGCCCGCCGAAUGGUGCACGACGGAUACACACAGCACAUGGUCCAGGCUUUCCACGACGCGCCUAUCGAAGCCCUGGGGACGUGGUUCUCGGAGCUGGACGUGGAUUGGGUUCUCCAAAUCCGCGAGGGGCGCAUGUCGGCGCCGUCGCUUCAGGACCUGGUAGAGAGGUGGGUCCGAGCUCUUGCCAUAAUCGUUCUCACCAUGAGAGAGCUGCACGUGUCGGCCGUCGACGAGCCGACGCCUGCAAGCGCGCGCUUCGGCAAAGCGAGCAUCGACAAGAUGCUCGCCUUCGUCGACGCCGUCGUCGUCCCUGACUCUCCAAAGGGCCACGCUCCGGGGGACAAGCUGUGGGCCGUGCUGAACAUGUACGUCUGCGUCUCCGACGCCUCAUCUUUCAACUGGUCACGCAGCCGCAGGCGGAUUUCGAAAGAAACCCAGGGCGUGAUCGACGAGAUCAACGGCUCCUUGUCCACAGAAGAGAACAAGUUGAACGGAGCCAUAUUCAGCACGAUGGAGGAGGUCAGGACAUUCAUGGAGGAGGAGGACUCGUGGGCCGCCGACGUUCCACGGGGAGGAGGCCUGAGGUACCUGUUCCUGCUCAACAACUCCUGUUUCGUGACGCAGCAGCUCGAGUCAUCCAAGCUCAUAGCAUGGGCCCAAAACCACUGGGAGCUUCCGCCGGAGAGCGAGAAGUACAUUGACUGUUACUUCGAGGUGUCAUGGGCUCACGUGCUGUCCUGCAUAUCUGAGUCGACCUCCGGGCAGCUGCUCCGCUGGAACAACGGUUCGUCGCUCGCUAGGUUCCUGUCGGCGUUUCAUCGGAUCUACAAGCUUCAGAAGUUCUGGAAGGUGCCAAGCCCCCAGCUCAGGCGCAUGCUGCGGAAAACCAUCACCGAGAGGGUUAUUACGGGCUACCUCGAGUACCUGGAGGAGCAUCCGGAGCUGGAGAAGCGCAUCAUCUUUGGAAACACCACUCCGGACGACUUGGAGGAGAUGCUGGGAGAGCUGUUCGAAGGAUGA
rnacentral:rRNA from 1 species